AUUGAACGCUGGCGGAAUGCUUUACACAUGCAAGUCGAACGGCAGCACGGGGGCAACCCUGGUGGCGAGUGGCGAACGGGUGAGUAAUACAUCGGAACGUGCCCAGUCGUGGGGGAUAACGUAGCGAAAGCUACGCUAAUACCGCAUACGAACUGAGGCUGAAAGCGGGGGACCGUAAGGCCUCGCGCGAUUGGAGCGGCCGAUGGCAGAUUAGGUAGUUGGUGGGGUAAAGGCCUACCAAGCCGACGAUCUGUAGCUGGUCUGAGAGGACGACCAGCCACACUGGGACUGAGACACGGCCCAGACUCCUACGGGGGGCAGCAGUGGGGAAUUUUGGACAAUGGGCGCAAGCCUGAUCCAGCCAUGCCGCGUGCGGGAAGAAGGCCUUCGGGUUGUAAACCGCUUUUGUCAGGGAAGAAACGCUCUGGGCUAAUACCCUGGGGUAAUGACGGUACCUGAAGAAUAAGCACCGGCUAACUACGUGCCAGCAGCCGCAGUAACAC
rnacentral:rRNA from 1 species